ACGGGAAUAGCUCAGUUGGUAGAGCAUCGGUCUCCAAAACCGAGGGUCGUGGGUUCAAGUCCUGCUUCCCGUGCUA
rnacentral:tRNA from 1 species